AUAUCUCUUUGGAGCUAAGGAUGAAAAUGAAGUCAUACAAAUGGACGCAGUGAAAGAUGGUGAAAAGAAAGAGCCUGAGAAACCAGAAAAGAAGAAACCUCUUGAGAGUGCGCUGGUUCGUACCAGUUGGGUAACAGUUGCUGUCCAUUUGACUGCUAUUGCUAUUGCAGUAGUGGUCAUGAUUAUACUGAUUGCAAUUAAUUAAAAAAAAGACUUUUCAGACAUAGUUUAUUGUUGUUUUAGCUUUAGGAACAUUAUUGUUUUGUUGCUUUAUUUUGCAUUGUCAGCUCAAGUUGUGUAAGACUUACUAUAUAAGUAUAAUAUCAUUUUUAAAACAGUUGUUAUUAAUGAGACUAUA